GAGGGUAUAGCUCAAGUGGUAGAGCACAUGCCUAGCAUGCACAAGGUCUGGGAUUCAAUCCCCAGUGCCUCCA
rnacentral:tRNA from 1 species